rnacentral:rRNA from 1 species
CACGUAGGGUGCGAGCGUUGUCCGGAAUUAUUGGGCGUAAAGAGCUCGUAGGCGGUGUGUCGCGUCGGCCGUGAAAACCCUGCAGCUUAACUGUGGGCUUGCGGUCGAUACGGGCAUCACUGGAGUUCGGCAGGGGAGACUGGAAUUCCUGGUGUAGCGGUGAAAUGCGCAGAUAUCAGGAGGAACACCGGUGGCGAAGGCGGGUCUCUGGGCCGAUACUGACGCUGGAGGAGCGAAAAGCCGUGGGGAGCGAACAGG